rnacentral:rRNA from 1 species
UACGUAGGGGGCAAGCGUUGUCCGGAUUUAUUGGGCGUAAAGCGCGCGUAGGCGGCGCGGUAUGUCGGGCGUGAAAUCUCCCGGCUUAACUGGGAGGGGCCGUGCGAAACUGCCGGGCUUGAGGUCGGGAGGGGAAAGUGGAAUUCCGGGUGUAGUGGUGGAAUACGUAGAUAUCCGGAGGAACACCAGCGGCGAAGGCGGCUUUCUGGUCCGAUACUGACGCUGAGGUGCGAAAGCGUGGGGAGCGAUCCGG